AUGACCAUCAGAACUAUCACCAUGGUUACCAUCAGAACUAUUAUAAUCUUAGAACUAUAAACUAUACUAUAACUUAUAAUUUAUUAGAACUAUUAAAGUUUUGAUGGUCAUGGUAAUAGUUCUGAUGGUAACCAUGGUGACAGUUCUGAUGAUCAU